rnacentral:rRNA from 1 species
UAGGGAAUAUUGCUUAAUGGGCGAAAGCCUGAAGCAGCAACGCCGCGUGUGCGAUGAAGGCCUUCGGGUUGUAAAGCACUUUUUGAGGGGAUGAGGAAGGACAGUACCCUCAGAAUAAGUCUCGGCUAACUACGUGCCAGCAGCCGCGGUAAAACGUAGGAGGCGAGCGUUAUCCGGAUUUACUGGGCGUAAAGCGCGUGCAGGCGGCUCGAAAAGUUGGAUGUGAAAGCUCCUGGCUUAACUGGGAGAGGUCGUUCAAUACUUUCGGGCUUGAGGAUGGGAGAGGGAGGUGGAAUUCCGGGUGUAGUGGUGAAAUGCGUAGAUAUCCGGAGGAACACCAGUGGCGAAGGCGGCCUCCUGGCCCAUUUCUGACGCUCAGACGCGAAAGCUAGGGUAGCAAACGGGAUUAGAGACCCCGGUAGUCCUAGCUGUAAACGAUGUAGACUUGGCGUUGGUGGGGUUCAAAUCCAUCAGUGCCGGAGCUAACGCGUUAAGUCUACCGCCUGGGGACUACGGCCGCAAGGUUAAAACUUAAGUGAAUUGACGGGGUCAUAGCUGUUUCCU